UUCAAACUUUUUAGGUAUAAGCCCACCAUAUAUUUCUUGUUCAGGGACAAACGUAGCGGCUUGCGGUGGUAGAAAAAUUUUCUGAAGCUGCAAGUUUGGAUUCUAGACUCGAAAAUAUUGUCAGCAGCCAAGCCCAUUAACCAUUUGAUCGUGUUAAAGGUGAUGAUGCCAUUGGCAAGAGAGCUGGACGCAGGGAUCAGUAGCUGUAUAUGUCUCAAUGAUCAUGUUUCCAGGUCCUCCAUAUCAUCAUCAUGGGGAAGUGAACGCUCUGAUCGAUAAGUUUCUAAUGUCUCGGCUUCAUUAAUGACAAUAUUUAUUUGCUGCAAAACUGCUUUUCAACUUUUUCAUUCGUGAGCUUGGGAUCAUUGUGAUCAUCAGAAGAAGUGGAAGCCACCGACGGAGCAUCCCAUCCAGGAC